rnacentral:rRNA from 1 species
AGCAGGAUGAAGCGAAAGUAAAAUUUCGUGGAGGUCCGAACCCACGAGCGUUGAAAAGCUCGGGGAUGACUUGUGGGUAGCGGUGAAAUUCCAAUCGAGCCCGGAGAUAGCUGGUUCUCCCCGAAAUUGCUUUAGGGCUAGCCUCAAGGUGAGAGAUACGGAGGUAGAGCACUGAAUGUCCUAGGGGGUAUUGCACCUACCGAAGACUA